UACAGAGGUCCCAAGCGUUGUUCGGAAUUACUGGGCGUAAAGCGUGUGUAGGUGGUUGUCAUAGUCAGGCGUGAAAGCCUUGAGCUCAACUCAAGAAAUGCGCUUGAUACUGGGCAGCUAGAGGACCGGAGAGGAUAGUGGAAUUCCCAGUGUAGUGGUGAAAUACGUAGAGAUUGGGAAGAACACCAGUGGCGAAGGCGGCUAUCUGGACGGUUUCUGACACUAAGACACGAAAGCGUGGGGAGCAAACAGG
rnacentral:rRNA from 1 species